rnacentral:tRNA from 1 species
GCCAGCAUAGCUCAGCGGUAGAGCAACUCACUCGUAAUGAGUAGGUCAGGAGUUCAAAUCUCCUUGCUGGCU